rnacentral:rRNA from 1 species
UGGGGAAUAUUGCACAAUGGGCGCAAGCCUGAUGCAGCCAUGCCGCGUGUAUGAAGAAGGCCUUCGGGUUGUAAAGUACUUUCAGCGGGGAGGAAGGGAGUAAAGUUAAUACCUUUGCUCAUUGACGUUACCCGCAGAAGAAGCACCGGCUAACUCCGUGCCAGCAGCCGCGGUAAUACGGAGGGUGCAAGCGUUAAUCGGAAUUACUGGGCGUAAAGCGCACGCAGGCGGUUUGUUAAGUCAGAUGUGAAAUCCCCGGGCUCAACCUGGGAACUGCAUCUGAUACUGGCAAGCUUGAGUCUCGUAGAGGAGGGUAGAAUUCCAGGUGUAGCGGUGAAAUGCGUAGAGAUCUGGAGGAAUACCGGUGGCGAAGGCGGCCCCCUGGACGAAGACUGACGCUCAGGUGCGAAAGCGUGGGGAGCAAACAGG